GAUGAACGCUGGCGGCGUGCCUAAUACAUGCAAGUCGAGCGAACGGACGAGAAGCUUGCUUCUCUGAUGUUAGCGGCGGACGGGUGAGUAACACGUGGAUAACCUACCUAUAAGACUGGGAUAACUUCGGGAAACCGGAGCUAAUACCGGAUAAUAUUUUGAACCGCAUGGUUCAAAAGUGAAAGACGGUCUUGCUGUCACUUAUAGAUGGAUCCGCGCUGCAUUAGCUAGUUGGUAAGGUAACGGCUUACCAAGGCAACGAUGCAUAGCCGACCUGAGAGGGUGAUCGGCCACACUGGAACUGAGACACGGUCCAGACUCCUACGGGAGGCAGCAGUAGGGAAUCUUCCGCAAUGGGCGAAAGCCUGACGGAGCAACGCCGCGUGAGUGAUGAAGGUCUUCGGAUCGUAAAACUCUGUUAUUAGGGAAGAACAUAUGUGUAAGUAACUGUGCACAUCUUGACGGUACCUAAUCAGAAAGCCACGGCUAACUACGUGCCAGCAGCCGCGGUAAUACGUAGGUGGCAAGCGUUAUCCGGAAUUAUUGGGCGUAAAGCGCGCGUAGGCGGUUUUUUAAGUCUGAUGUGAAAGCCCACGGCUCAACCGUGGAGGGUCAUUGGAAACUGGAAAACUUGAGUGCAGAAGAGGAAAGUGGAAUUCCAUGUGUAGCGGUGAAAUGCGCAGAGAUAUGGAGGAACACCAGUGGCGAAGGCGACUUUCUGGUCUGUAACUGACGCUGAUGUGCGAAAGCGUGGGGAUCAAACAGGAUUAGAUACCCUGGUAGUCCACGCCGUAAACGAUGAGUGCUAAGUGUUAGGGGGUUUCCGCCCCUUAGUGCUGCAGCUAACGCAUUAAGCACUCCGCCUGGGGAGUACGACCGCAAGGUUGAAACCCAAAGGAAUUGACGGGGACCCGCACAAGCGGUGGAGCAUGUGGUUUAAUUCGAAGCAACGCGAAGAACCUUACCAAAUCUUGACAUCCUUUGACAACUCUAGAGAUAGAGCUUUCCCCUUCGGGGGACAAAGUGACAGGUGGUGCAUGGUUGUCGUCAGCUCGUGUCGUGAGAUGUUGGGUUAAGUCCCGCAACGAGCGCAACCCUUAAGCUUAGUUGCCAUCAUUAAGUUGGGCACUCUAAGUUGACUGCCGGUGACAAACCGGAGGAAGGUGGGGAUGACGUCAAAUCAUCAUGCCCCUUAUGAUUUGGGCUACACACGUGCUACAAUGGACAAUACAAAGGGCAGCGAAACCGCGAGGUCAAGCAAAUCCCAUAAAGUUGUUCUCAGUUCGGAUUGUAGUCUGCAACUCGACUACAUGAAGCUGGAAUCGCUAGUAAUCGUAGAUCAGCAUGCUACGGUGAAUACGUUCCCGGGUCU
rnacentral:rRNA from 1 species